ACUCCUACGGGAGGCAGCAGUGGGGAAUAUUGCACAAUGGGCGCAAGCCUGAUGCAGCCAUGCCGCGUGUGUGAAGAAGGCUCUAGGGUUGUAAAGCACUUUCAAUUGGGAGAAAAGCUACUGGUUAAUAACCUUUAGCCUUGAUGUUACCUUUAGAAGAAGCACCGGCUAACUCCGUGCCAGCAGCCGCGGUAAUACGGAGGGUGCAAGCGUUAAUCGGAAUUACUGGGCGUAAAGCGCGCGUAGGCGGUUUGGUCAGUUGGAUGUG
rnacentral:rRNA from 1 species